UACGUAGGGUGCAAGCGUUGUCCGGAAUUAUUGGGCGUAAAGAGCUCGUAGGCGGUUUGUCGCGUCUGCUGUGAAAACUCGGGGCUUAACCCCGGGCCUGCAGUGGGUACGGGCAGGCUAGAGUUCGGCAGGGGAGACUGGAAUUCCUGGUGUAGCGGUGAAAUGCGCAGAUAUCAGGAGGAACACCGGUGGCGAAGGCGGGUCUCUGGGCCGAUACUGACGCUGAGGAGCGAAAGCGUGGGGAGCGAACAGG
rnacentral:rRNA from 1 species